rnacentral:rRNA from 1 species
UGGGGAAUCUUGGACAAUGGGGGAAACCCUGAUCCAGCGACGCCGCGUGGGUGAUGAAGGCCUUCGGGUCGUAAAGCCCUGUCGGGGGGGAAGAAACUCUUGCCGGUGAACAAUCGGCGAGACCGACGGUACCCCCUAAGGAAGCACCGGCUAACUCCGUGCCAGCAGCCGCGGUAAGACGGAGGGUGCAAGCGUUGUUCGGAAUUACUGGGCGUAAAGGGCGCGUAGGCGGUCUGUUAAGUUCGGUGUGAAAGCCCCCGGCUUACCCGGGGAACUGCGCCGGAAACCGACAGACUAGAGUACCGGAGAGGAGGGUGGAAUUCCUGGUGUAGCGGUGAAAUGCGUAGAUAUCAGGAGGAACACCGGUGGCGAAGGCGGCCCUCUGGACGGAUACUGACGCUGAGGCGCGAAAGCGUGGGGAUCAAACAGGAUUAGAUACCCCCGUAGUCC